UACAGAGGUCCCAAGCGUUGUUCGGAUUCACUGGGCGUAAAGGGUGCGCAGGCGGUCGGGUAAGUCUGACGUGAAAUCUUCAAGCUCAACUUGGAAACUGCGUCGGAUACUAUUCGGCUAGAGGAAUGGAGGGGAGACUGGAAUUCUCGGUGUAGCAGUGAAAUGCGUAGAUAUCGAGCGGAACACCAGUGGCGAAGGCGAGUCUCUGGACAUUUCCUGACGCUGAGGCACGAAAGCCAGGGGAGCGAACGGG
rnacentral:rRNA from 1 species